CCCUUAGAUGUUCUGGGCUGCACGCGCGCUACACUGACAGAGUCAACGAGUUUACCACCUUGGCCGAAAGGUCCGGGUAAUCUUUUGAAACUCUGUCGUGCUGGGGAUAGAUUAUUGCAAUUUUUAAUCUUCAACGAGGAAUUCCUAGUAAGCGCAAGUCAUCAGCUUGCGUUGAUUACGUCCCUGCCCUUUGUACACACCGCCCGUCGCUCCUACCGAUUGGAUGAUCCGGUGAAAUUUCGGGACCGCAGCCUUGCCGUUGGUUCGCCGACGAUGAUGCCGCGGGAACUUACUUAAACCUUAUCAUCUAGAGGAAGGAGAAGUCGUAACA
rnacentral:rRNA from 1 species